AGGUGUGACCCCGAACCUGGGAAAUCUGAAUUGCCUGGUUUGAGCAACGAACAAUGACAGACUUUGGUUGAGAUGUUGAACAACCGUAAGACGUGUGAGAAUGAGAAAAUGACUGGUAAGCAUUCCAAUGAUCAGGUUAUCACAUGAUUGUCUAGUGCCGAGAGUCUCUUGGGACAUGAUACUUGGACUUACCAUUUUAUAUUACUCGUAUGAUCCGGUACACUUAUCGGUGACCCAAUAAGUUUUUGGCGCCG
rnacentral:lncRNA from 1 species